GUGAAGACCCAGCCAUGCCUGGAGUAAAUUAAGCCAGCAGGAAAUAAUCCUAAAGGAGAUAAACAUCUAAAAGAAAGGAACGAAAACAGGUUUUAUUUAUAAACGUCUCACUGUUGGAACCUGCAUGAAUGAAAGCUGAAUCUCAAAGAUCAGACAUGUUGGACUUGGAAUAAUGUCCACGUUAUGAUUCCAAUCUGUGCUUAAAUCUGAACCACUCAGUUCUUCAUGCUUGUUGGAAUCCUUCUAAAAUUGGAAUUUCCUGGGAGAUAUCCAGUACUUUUUGGGCUGUAAACAGCAAAACAAACAGCCUUUCUUGUAAUAUGCUAUGUCUAGUGCUAACUGAAUUCAAGAAGUUUAUGGGUGUGGGGAAAGUAACUUGAUUUCUUUGCAAACUUACAAAUUUGCUUCAAUUUAAAUUUUGACCAAAAAUUCAUCUCAGGAAUAUGUUUUGGAAUAAUCCUUUGCUAUUAGUUAUAAAUAUGGCAAAUAUUGUUUAAACAAUAAAAUAUUAUUUUAUACAAUAAAUUAUGGCAACAAAUUCCUUGUAAUGAUAGAUUUUUUAAAAUCUUUAAAUCAUAGAUAAGGAUUUAUUAUGCUCCAUGUCAAUUAUAUGCAUGUUUGUGUGUAUGUGUGUGUAUAUGUGUGUGUAUAUGUAUUUCACUUAAUCUCCGAGAAGUCUGAAUUUUUAUGUUUCUCUAUUGUAUAUAAUUGAAAAACAUAAGACAAACAGAAAGAAAUCACUUAUUAGUACGUUGAUAGAUAAACGUGCUUGAUGCCAAAUAUAGACACAAAAAAUACACUUAAUUCUUCUAUAAGAACUCUUAAACAUCUAUGAGAAACAUCUUAUCAAAUUGAUUUCCCCCUUUCUCCUUAGUAAAAAAAUCCUGACAUUUUUAGGUUGACACAAUGCCUCUCAGCUAAACAAUGACAUUUCCCAGACUCCUUUCUGUUUAAGUGUGG
rnacentral:lncRNA from 1 species